GGGCCUGCGUUCCAUUAGCUAGUUGGUAGGGUAAUGGCCUACCAAGGCAACGAUGAGUAGCUGGUCUGAGAGGAUGAUCAGCCACACUGGAACUGAAACACGGUCCAGACUCCUACGGGAGGCAGCAGUGGGGAAUAUUGCGCAAUGGGCGAAAGCCUGACGCAGCAACGCCGUGUGAGGGAUGAAGGCUUUCGGGUCGUAAACCUCUGUCGGAAGGGAAGAACGGGCAUUGGUCUAAUAGGCCUUUGUUUUGACGGUACCUUUAGAGGAAGCACCGGCUAACUCCGUGCCAGCAGCCGCAGUAAUACGGAGGGUGCAAGCGUUAUUCGGAAUUACUGGGCGUAAAGCGCACGUAGGCCGCUUUGUAAGUCAGGGGUGAAAUCCCACGGCUCAACCGUGGAACUGCCUUUGAAACUGCAGAGCUUGAAUCCUGGAGAGGGUGGCGGAAUUCCUGGUGUAGGAGUGAAAUCCGUAGAUAUCAGGAGGAACACCGGUGGCGAAGGCGGCCACCUGGACAGGCAUUGACGCUGAGGUGCGAAAGUGUGGGGAGCAAACAGGAUUAGAUACCCUGGUAGUCCACACCGUAAACGAUGAACGCUAGGUGUCGGAG
rnacentral:rRNA from 1 species